rnacentral:rRNA from 1 species
UACGUAGGGGGCUAGCGUUGUCCGGAAUCAUUGGGCGUAAAGAGCGUGUAGGCGGCUCGGUAAGUCCGCUGUGAAAGUCCAGGGCUCAACCCUGGAAUGCCAGUGGAAACUGUCGAGCUAGAGUCCGGAAGAGGCGAGUGGAAUUCCUGGUGUAGCGGUGAAAUGCGCAGAUAUCAGGAGGAACACCAAUGGCGAAGGCAGCUCGCUGGGACGGUACUGACGCUGAGACGCGAAAGCGUGGGGGAGCAAACAGG